rnacentral:rRNA from 1 species
GCGUCAAAGCGUAAAAUUUUUCCGAUCCAAAACAUUUUAACCACCUCCUGACUUCUCACAGAGCAACUCUAUAUAACAAUAGAAGAACUACUGCUAAAACUAGUAAUAAGAACCCAUUCUCCCCACACACCCCUCAAUCAGAAAUAGAUAAACUACUGAAAGUUAACGAACUAUAAAAAAGAAACAAACAACCCCAAGAAAAAAUUUCCACCAAUUCGUGACACCAACACAGGAGUGUUCUAAGGACAGAUUAAAAGCCCAACAAGGAAUUCAGCUAAUAGACUCCAACUGUUUACCAAAAACAUAGCCUUUAGCAACACAAGUAUUAAAGGUCUCGCCUGCCCAGUGUUCUUUCAACGGCCGCGGUAUCCUAACCGUGCAAAGGUAGACGUAAUCAUUUGUCUCCUAAAUAGAGACUUGUAUGAACGGCUAACUGAGAGCCUAACUGUCUCCUAAGGCCAAUCAAUGAAACUGAUCUUCCAGUACAAAAGCUGAAAUAACCCCAUAAGACGAGAAGACCCUGUGGAGCUUAAAAUACACGCUAUUCUUUAACCCACUUCAACCACGGAACCACCCCCUAAGAUAUAGCAAGACCUUUUCAGUUGGGGCGACUUUGGAAUAAAAAGAAACUUCCAUGAUAAGGGCUCCUCCCUAUUAAGGCCUACCAGCCAACAUAACUUUUUUUGACCCAGACAUCUGAUCAAC